rnacentral:rRNA from 1 species
GAUGAACGCUGGCGGCGUGCCUAAUACAUGCAAGUCGAGCGAACGGACGAGAAGCUUGCUUUUCUGAUGUUAGCGGCGGACGGGUGAGUAACACGUGGAUAACCUACCUAUAAGACUGGGAUAACUUCGGGAAACCGGAGCUAAUACCGGAUAAUAUUUUGAACCGCAUGGUUCAAAAGUGAAAGACGGUCUUGCUGUCACUUAUAGAUGGAUCCGCGCUGCAUUAGCUAGUUGGUAAGGUAACGGCUUACCAAGGCAACGAUGCAUAGCCGACCUGAGAGGGUGAUCGGCCACACUGGAACUGAGACACGGUCCAGACUCCUACGGGAGGCAGCAGUAGGGAAUCUUCCGCAAUGGGCGAAAGCCUGACGGAGCAACGCCGCGUGAGUGAUGAAGGUCUUCGGAUCGUAAAACUCUGUUAUUAGGGAAGAACAUAUGUGUAAGUAACUGUGCACAUCUUGACGGUACCUAAUCAGAAAGCCACGGCUAACUACGUGCCGGCAGCCGCGGUAAUACGUAGGUGGCAAGCGUUAUCCGGAAUUAUUGGGCGUAAAGCGCGCGUAGGCGGUUUUUUAAGUCUGAUGUGAAAGCCCACGGCUCAACCGUGGAGGGUCAUUGGAAACUGGAAAACUUGAGUGCAGAAGAGGAAAGUGGAAUUCCAUGUGUAGCGGUGAAAUGCGCAGAGAUAUGGAGGAACACCAGUGGCGAAGGCGACUUUCUGGUCUGUAACUGACGCUGAUGUGCGAAAGCGUGGGGAUCAAACAGGAUUAGAUACCCUGGUAGUCCACGCCGUAAACGAUGAGUGCUAAGUGUUAGGGGGUUUCCGCCCCUUAGUGCUGCAGCUAACGCAUUAAGCACUCCGCCUGGGGAGUACGACCGCAAGGUUGAAACUCAAAGGAAUUGACGGGGACCCGCACAAGCGGUGGAGCAUGUGGUUUAAUUCGAAGCAACGCGAAGAACCUUACCAAAUCUUGACAUCCUUUGACAACUCUAGAGAUAGAGCCUUCCCCUUCGGGGGACAAAGUGACAGGUGGUGCAUGGUUGUCGUCAGCUCGUGUCGUGAGAUGUUGGGUUAAGUCCCGCAACGAGCGCAACCCUUAAGCUUAGUUGCCAUCAUUAAGUUGGGCACUCUAAGUUGACUGCCGGUGACAAACCGGAGGAAGGUGGGGAUGACGUCAAAUCAUCAUGCCCCUUAUGAUUUGGGCUACACACGUGCUACAAUGGACAAUACAAAGGGCAGCGAAACCGCGAGGUCAAGCAAAUCCCAUAAAGUUGUUCUCAGUUCGGAUUGUAGUCUGCAACUCGACUACAUGAAGCUGGAAUCGCUAGUAAUCGUAGAUCAGCAUGCUACGGUGAAUACGUUCCCGGGUCU